GGGGAACUGGAGGCCCACAGGGGAACAGGAGGCCCACAGGGGAGGCAGUCUGUCAGCCCUCCAGGUGUAGUUUGACCUCAUAGGGGAAUAGGAGGCCCACAGGGGAACAGGAGGCCCACAGGGGAGGCAGUCUGUCAGCCCUCCAGGUCCAGUUUGACCUCACAUCUCCCUGGUUAAAUGGAACUGGACUCGUCACUCGCUGCUUCAAUGUUUUAUGGAGUGUCUGUAUGCUAUUAUAUGAUCACAUUUUAAAACUACUUAUGUGUUGACCUCUAAGUACCCUGGGAACUAUUUUGAUUGAGAAAAAAUACAAAUAAAUAGAUUUAUGUCAAAUUUGAUGUUUUGUUUCAUUUUGUAGUGUUGUCAUUUUUUUAUUUUAAUUAACAGACCAAAGUGGACACAGUGAUGUUUUAAAUCAUUUAUAUCAUCAGAACUUUCCAGUGAUUUUCCCUUAAAAAAACUACUUUCACAGACACCUGGUCGGUUGAGAAUAAAGUUGUCUGAACACAGAACGUGUUAACAGGGUAAACUCUACAGAAUAAAGUUGUUAACAGGGUAAACUCUACAGAAUAAAGUUGUUAACAGGGUAAACUCUACAGAAUAAAGUUGUUAACAGGGUAAACUCUACAGAAUAAAGUUGUUAACAGGGUAAACUCUACAGAAUAAAGUUGUUAACAGGGUAAACUCUACAGAAUAAAGUUGUUAACGUGUUAACAGGGUAAACUCUACAGAAUAAAGUUGUUAACAGGGUAAACUCUACAGAAUAAAGUUGUUAACGUGUUAACAGGGUAAACUCUACAGAAUAAAGUUGUUAACAGGGUAAACUCUACAGAAUAAAGGUGUUAACAGGGUAAACUCUACAGAAUAAAGUUGUUAACAGGGUAAACUCUACAGAAUAAAGUUGUUAACAUGUUAACAGGGUAAACUCUACAGAAUAAAGUUGUUAACAGGGUAAACUCUACAGAAUAAAGUUGUUAACAGGGUAAACUCUACAGAAUAAAGUUGUUAACAGGGUAAACUCUACAGAAUAAAGGUGUUAACAGGGUAAACUCUACAGAAUAAAGUUGUUAACAGGGUAAACUCUACAGAAUAAAGGUGUUAACAGGGUAAACUCUACAGAAUAAAGUUGUCUGAACACAGAACAUGUUAACAGGGUAAACUCUACAGAAUAAAGUUGUUAACGUGUUAACAGGGUAAACUCUACAGAAUAAAGUUGUUAACAUGUUAACAGGGUAAACUCUACAGAAUAAAGGUGUUAACAUGUUAACAGGGUAAACUCUACAGAAUAAAGUUGUUAACGUGUUAACAGGGUAAACUCUACAGAAUAAAGUUGUUAACGUGUUAACAGGGUAAACUCUACAGAAUAAAGUUGUUAACAGGGUAAACUCUACAGAAUAAAGUUGUUAACGUGUUAACAGGGUAAACUCUACAGAAUAAAGUUGUUAACAGGGUAAACUCUACAGAAUAAAGUUGUUAACG